UUCAGCUAAAGUGUCUCAAACGCCCAAGGGGACUCAUCGUCUUCGACAAGAGACGCUGAUCCACUCUAUGCGGGUCCGCCCCAAAUGGAAGCCGAAGUGUAAAAUAUUGGAUUUUUAAGAGUCGGCCCCUAUUGAUUUGGAUUUUGAAUGUCUCGCCCCCAUUGAGUUUUCGUUCAAGCUCCGCCACUAGUAUCAACUAAAAGACAUUGUGAAUGCCCGAGUUCAUAUUAUGAUUCUCCAACAUAUAUUGAUAGUGAAUUUGUGAUAGAAAAAACAAUGUAUGUUUCCAU
rnacentral:lncRNA from 1 species